rnacentral:tRNA from 1 species
GGCCAAGUAGCUCAGUUGGUAGAGCAGCGGAUUGAAAAUCCGCGUGUCGGUGGUUCGAUUCCGCCCUUGGCCACAA